rnacentral:lncRNA from 1 species
UUAUAUCUUAUGUCUUCUAAUAUAACAAUGAAAAAAGAGAAGGUGAACAUUAUUGUCUUUCCUAUCAUGCCUUUAUCAAGGUUCUCAUGACCAUACAAUCCUGGAAGUUCAUCAGCAGGGCAAAUAUGUGUACAGUUGAGUCAUUGAGGUUAUAUCUUAUGUCUUCUAAUAUAACAAUGAAAAAAGAGAAGGUGAACAUUAUUGUCUUUCCUAUCAUGCCUUUAUCAAUGUUAUCAUGACCAUACAAUCAUUUAACAGUUAACACUUGACAACUACGUGUCUCAAUUAUUUAAAGGAUUAUAUACACUACUUUCUUUCUCUGUUUUUUAUGAUAAUUAUUUUCCUCUAAAAAACAUCGCACUAAAAACCUACUUGACACCAUCCUGAGAGACUUCUUUUAUUUUAUUUUUCAUCUCUUAAAGCCAGAAGAAAACAACAUUGAAACCUCACUUUUUACAUUAUAAGCAGUCACCACUGUCCGUCAUUGGAAAUUGAAUCUAAAAUCCAGCAAUUCUACAAAACAAGCUAAAUGUGUACUGAUUAACUAAUAACAUAGCAAUAAUGCACUUCUCUAAAGAGAAAAUAUAUGUUGUUAAGAUGUCUAUGUUGACUCAGUAGCUUGUAGCUUGAAAGUAAUACAGCAAAAGCUUGUCUCUCAAAGGAGUGAACUACAGAAUUCUUCUUAAAUUAAGAAUCAGAACUAAUGACAAGAAAUGUAAUUUGCUGGCACAUGCUAGUAUUUUACCGAAAGAGCAAAAAGAUGCAGAUUCUUCUAGCAGACCAAAGGUAC